rnacentral:rRNA from 1 species
UACGUAGGGUGCAAGCGUUAAUCGGAAUUACUGGGCGUAAAGCGUGCGCAGGCGGUGAUGUAAGACAGAUGUGAAAUCCCCGGGCUCAACCUGGGAAUGGCAUUUGAGACUGCACAGCUAGAGUGUGUCAGAGGGGGGUAGAAUUCCACGUGUAGCAGUGAAAUGCGUAGAGAUGUGGAGGAAUACCGAUGGCGAAGGCAGCCCCCCUGGGGAUAACACUGACGCUCAUGCACGAAAGCGUGGGGAGCAAACAGG